rnacentral:rRNA from 1 species
UUCCUUUCUUGAUUCUCUGGGUAGUGGUGCAUGGCCGUUCUUAGUUGGUGGAGUGAUUUGCUCUGGUUAAUUCCGUUAACGAACGAGACCUUAACCUGCUAUUUAGUCGCUCGGUCUCCGUCCGUGCGCACUUCAUAGAGGGACUCUGCGGCGUCAAGCUGCGGUGAGGUUUAAGGCAAUAACAGGUCUGUGAUGCCCUUAGAUGUCCUGGGCUGCACGCGCGCUACACUGAUGCUUGCCUCGUGUUUACCCUCGGCCGAUAGGCCCUGGUAACCCCUAGUCUGCAUCGUGUUUGGGAUUGAUCUUUGCAAUUCUAGAUCAUGAACGAGGAAUGCCUAGUAUGCGCAAGUCAUCAGCUUGUGCAGAUUACGUCCCUGCCCUUUGUACACCCCGCCCGUCCCUCCCUCCUUUUUUUUU